CAGAGUUUUGCAGUGAAGCAUGCUUGUCAAGCGCAGCGUGCGUGCGUACAUGCUGUAUAGCAUACUGUUUGAAAAUUAAUGUUGUACAUUAUUCUACUCUGGGGAUCACGGAGACGCGUUUUUCUAUUAUUUCAUUACGGUCUUUUUCCGUAUUGUUUCUACGCUUGUAAGGAGAUUCCUGAGCUUGUGGGACCGAGCAGUCGAAAUUUCGUUAGUGAUAGACUCAAACGAUUUCCUAAUGAAAAUAAAUCCAAUUUUUUUAAGUGUUAAGGCUUCGAACACCAUUCGCUGCUUGCAUGGUGUAUAAUGGUUGAAUCUAUUAAGCCUAACUCUAUUAUGGUUAACUUCAGUUUAUUCUGUUCGCAACAGCACUCGGUUUUGAACGAAAUAUUUUAUAUUUUCAUUGCUUCACGAGGUAGUUUCACAGAUUUUGGUAAUUUAUUCUGUGGUGAAGGGUGUUUCUACUUAUCGUUCUCCAUUAGAGGAGACUUUUUAAACCUCUCAUUAUGCCUCUAGUGCGAAUCAUAGACAAACGGUCUUAAGUAAUAACGAACACAGUAUGCCUUAUGUUGUUGUUUCGUGACAUGAUUCUCUGUUUUGACAAUAUGGGUCUGUCAGUUCGUUAGAGUAGAAGUUAUAUACAGUGAAUUGUUAAGUUUGAGUAGUUAGUAGUUGUGAACUGAUUCUUGUUAACUACUUAGUUUGUUAAAUAAAUAACAUAGCUCACGUUUAAGUCGAUAGGAAGCGUUUAAUUAAAGCCAUUCUCCGAACAUUAUGGGCAACGAAACUAGUCAGGAGCAAGGUGGAGAACCGACAGCCCGAGAACCAAGUGGACAAGCUUUUCCAGGACGAUCACAAGAACAGACGCAAAGUGGAUUGGGGUUUAGUUCAGUAGGGGGGCUUUCAGCCUCCCAACAAUCUCAAGCCCAAGAGAGCAAAUUUAGAACUUUAGGAAGUACUCCGGACCAAGGAAAGAUGACACCUACGUUGCCUGUACAAGUGCCGGCAGCACCACAACUUGAUCUUAGUGAUCUCUCCGAGGAGGAAAAGUCCAAAAUUUUAUCCGUUAUGGCAAAGGCAGAGCAUAUGGACAAAGAUCUAGAAAUACAUAGACAAAAAGUUCAGCACACUCGACAAGAGCACAAUCUAGGGACUACCUCAACGCCACCUACUGGUCUACCUCAGCAUCAACAGCUUUGCCCCCAGUGUCACGUGACGGUUUUAACAGCUGAAACCACAUCACAGUGUGCGGACUGCAAGAUAGCAGUCUGUCGGAAAUGUGGGACGUCUCUGGCGGAAGGAGAGGGAAGGGCUGUGUGGGUCUGUGUUGAGUGUAUACGUCGUAGAUCACAGAUGUCUACCAGCCAACCCCGAAGACAACCAGACCGAGAAAUCGCUUAUCAGAAUCAAUAUUUAGCGCCACCUGGUAGUAGAAAGCAACAGCAGGGAUACAAAGAAGAAGCUUCUGGAGAAGAUUUGCAAAAUCAAGAUGGAAGGCGUCUACACUCCAAAUCUCGAACGAGUCGGAUAGGUCAAGCACAACAGGCAGAUUCCAAAAGGGGAGAACACUCUGGAGAGAGUAGAAUGCAAAGAAACGAUUCCCAUAUUAGCGUAUCGCAAGAUGCACAGAACUACCGCACAAUAAAAAAACAAUUUUCUCAUGACGCUGUGGACCAACCUCCACUACCUUGGGCUCCUGUUUCUGUGACAACACAUUCAUCUGAUCAGCAAAAAUCAUAUCAACCACCCUUACCCUGGGCUCCUAUUACCACAGCACCAUCUCAUCAAAUGAGGCUUCAACAAACAUUUGAGUCUUCCCACAAAGGUAGUCCUUUGCAACAUUCAAGCUCAGCUGACGUUGAGCCUAUGCUUUAUUCUAAUACUCAGUACAGUAUUUCAAACAGAAGUCAUGUAACUACUAGUGAAGGUGCUAGUGGACAGUCUUCUUUUUUCUCCUCAGAAAAGAUGGCUUCUUAUUCUUCUAUGACUCAGGAUAUUCCUCAGCAGCAGCAGAAACAGCAACAAGCACUCUCAUACCAAUCACCGAAAUCAAGCAUCAAUGAAUUACAAAAUCAGAAGAAACAGAAACAACGGUCUGAUAGUCAGGAAUGGUCCCCAAUGAUGGACCUUUCUCCUAUUGUUGAUGUCUCACCUUCUCUGGAAGCAGCAGAACAGGAAUUAAUGGAAAAAUACCAAGAUUAUAUUCCUCCGAUGUCUAUGCCAAGAGUAACCAGUGGCACUAUUCCCGAAAUGCUAGAAAAUUUUCAAAGGUCUGUACAGCAAACGCCUGAAGACCCUCAGCUCAAGAUGCAGCAUUUCUCAUCCUUAGAUGCACGCCAUUUAUCUGCAACUUCCACAGAAGUAGCCAAAGCUGGUAAGGUCAUUCCUAUGACGAUAGUUAAUCAGCCUUCUCGGACGACUGAAAGAACUCGGCCAAUGCCCAAAGAACAAGUAGCCCCUUUCUCUACGGUACAGAUAGCGUCUACUUCUCAAUCUCAAAGUUCAAAAGCUAGUAGCAUCCGUAGAGUCCACAGGAGGUUGCCUCAGCCCACUUUAGAGCAAAUGCAAGAAGCUAUAGCACUGGCAGCUCAAACCCCAAAGUUCAAAUUAUCCCAUAAUCGUGGUCAAACAGGGUCUCCACAAACUCCGAAGGGUUUAGUCAGUAGUGCAGAAGGGAAAAAUGUAUCAAGACAAAAAUUAAUGGAUAAAAGUCCAGUUGUUCAACAGCAGCACCAGUCUUUUGCACAUUCAGAAAUAGAACAAAGAGGUGAAAUGAUGAAAAGGACAGCAGCCGAUUCGGAUAAAAGUGUUCUUCGUUCUCAGACCUCUGGUUUGAACGUUUCCACAGCAUCGGCUUUUGGUCUACAAUCUUAUGGUGAAACACACAGCCUAACUUUGCCCUCUACAACCACUUACCAAUCUACAAGUCUACCGUAUGAUAGUGGCCUUCAAGCUAUGUCUUCAACAUUAGGAAUGAUGUACGGCAGUAGUCAACCAUUAUUGAUGGCUUCGUCCCAGAUAUACCCAUUGGGACCGGAGAGAGAUAUUUUAAAUACUAGAGGACUAGAAACAACAAGCCUUAGCUACAGCAGAUCGUCUUCUGUUCCUGACUCUGUCAGCAAGAUCGGGGUACACAGUCUCGGAACAAGAGAUAAGACAGGAGAUUCGUCUGACGCACAGAGUGAUACGGGAAGCACGAUGUCGGCCAAACUUCGACACACCUUUCCAUACAUGUCUUCAAGCCAGGAAAUACCUUCCGCGGCAGUCGUUCCCCACCGAAAAGAUCGGAAACGAAAUUUAUCUGUUGGAAGUAACCCAAUUGUUAUUGAAGAGAGAACUCAAUAUAGGCCUUUUCCUCAACGAGCGUCUUCUUUAGAAGAACGUGGUCCUAUUUCGGUGGGUUCUAAUGUUGUAGGUGCCAAUUCCCUUUCUUACGUUCCAAUCUAUUCUUCUACAGAAGCGUAUUUAGGUCGUCGGGCUGACUCCUUAUCCGAGUAUUAUAUGCCUAAAACAGACUACUAUUCACGAUCAGCACCAGGAGAACCAAGUCGCACAAUAGCAAGCGAUUUUUUGCCUCGAACAAUGAGGCAACCUUCAGAGCUCGGUGUGGCCCGAGAAACUCUCCCCUCCUACAUGUAUAGUUUGAAGCAACGACUCUGGGAUGAAAUUAAAACGGUAACAGACGAAAGAAGACGACUCGCUGAUUUACGCCAUAAAAGUGAAACUGAUAUUACCUCUCUGUUGCCUCCUACCGAUUACUUGAAUGAACCGAAUAGAAAAGCUCUGUACAGUGAAGGAAAACGGAUAAGAAUUCGUUCCGGACCUGUUAGAACCAUUUCAACAUCUGCGCAGACGUCUCCCCAAGACACAGACAGAGAGUUCUUUUAUAUCCACCCUUCUGCACAUACCAUGGAAAAAAGAAAUAUCCACUUUGCCAAAGGUUACAGGGAUUUCUCUGACGACUUGACACGCUAUGUGUUGGUUCCUUCAAAAACAUUCGAGUCUUCCCAUGAGAAGAAGUUGUCGGAUGAUUUACCUAGGCCAUCAUUGUAUCCAGAAACAUUCAGAGGUUUAGCUCGUCAAACAGGUUUCCAUGCGCAAGAUAAUCCUCGAGACAUCCUUGCACUUCGACUCAGGGAAACCGCCAUAUCUGAUAACAUUAGAGACCAAACAGCUUUAUUAAACCGUUAUAAACGAGGGCGAACAAGACAUCCAAGGUACAGCGGGGACUCCUUUUCGGAUACAGGGGCAGGAUGGAAUUCUCCUGAAAUGAGUAGAGGUUAUUCCUACUUUUAUGAAAGCAGAAAGAAGCGACAAGACCCCCAGAUCCGAAAACCAAGGUCUUGGCAUCCAUCUCCUUACGGCUCAGAUGAUGAAGAGGAUAUAUUGACAAGGGACGAGAUUAGUAGAAUCAAAGGAGAGCCAGUUGGAAGUCUUCCCUACGCAGAAGAUACAGACAGACUUCGAAAGGAGCUUAGAAAGCUAGCAAGGAAACGAGAAACUUACGAGAGAACGAGUUGUAAUGCUUCUUAUCCUGGAGAAAGAAUGAUGCCAUCUCGACGACGGGUACGAGAUGCACGAAAUAAUUUAGGAUACUUAUAUUCCCACAACUCUGACAUGUAUCAUACAGGACCAACUUGGACUAAACAUGAUACGGGAAGUAGCAAGAUAACUAGAUCAGGCGAUUAUUUCAAUGCCACAGUCCCUGCUAGCUAUUCAAACCCAUCCCUAUCCAGAUAUGGGUAUGUUCGACAACCUGACGUACUUUAUUACGGUAGCGAACCAACAAGCCCAUUGGCCCGUUUUCAAGAAAGUACAGUCGAAGAUAAAAGUAUGUCUAGAGGAUUAUUAACUAUCCCAACAACUACUGCUACUCCUUACAAAACUCGGCGCCAGAACCGAUUACAAAUAGAGUCCAUCUUGGACUUCUCUCCUGCAACAACAGACUCUGAGACGCCACCAGAUCACUCGGAAAAUACGUCGGCUCCUCCUGGCAUUGACUAUUGUUCUCAAAAUCUCUUGGAAGAUUUCAACAGCACCAACAUUGUUGCUCGUCGCUCUCACCAAUCCCAAAGAAACAUUAGCAAUUCUGACCGGUCUAGAGGUCGUCCGAGAGAUGGAACAGCUAGAGAAGAAGAAUAUAGGGAGGAGAAAGUCCAAGAGAAGAAACCACACAAAUGGGGGUGUACAUACAGCUUUCCAGUAAAGAGAAUUCUUCUAACACGGGAUCCGAAGGAUCGGUUUGUAAAGGGCAAUGGAUUUGGCUUAGAAAUUGUUGGUGGCAAAGAGCUUUCAAACAAUAGUAAUUUAACAGGAGCAUAUAUUGCUAAAAUCUACCCUGGAGUAAUGGCUAGUAUACUAAAUGAAGUUGCUGUUGGUGAUCAGGUUAUAGAGUGGAAUGGAAUAAAUUUAAACGGAAAAACGUAUGAAGAGGUAAAAAGAAUUGUUGCAUCUUCUGGAGAUGAAGUAGAAAUGAUUAUUAGAAGUGAUUUAAAUGUCCUCAAACAGCAGGAAGUGAGUCACGUGCAGCGACACUCAUCCAGUGAUGGACUUGGACGAUACGAUGAUCCUUGUACAGGUCACAACCCACGUGACUAUGGCAGUACAGGACAGGAUUAUGGAAGGCUCUCCCUAGAACAGGACUAUUUCAGAGGGAACAACGGUUCACGAAGUGGCUGGAAACACAAUAACGCCGAAAACCCAACCUCAUCCCAUCUCCCCAACCCACAAAUCAAUGGGUUUGAUCGCUUAACUUCUUCUGUAAUUGAACCUAACGCAGAAAAUCAAGUGGACUUUGCUGACGUCGACACUGAAGAUAUUCCAUUGCUUACACAUCACCAAUCAGAAGCGACCAAUCAAAGUUGUCAUUCAGUGUUACCUCUUUCUACAUCAUCCUACCAGGGGCCUCCCGCUGCUGUUCCUGUCUCACGAGCCUUCAAUCAGAACUGUUCGAAAAUGAGUCCAACAGAUGAUGAACAGUACAAGCUCCAAGCACAACAUAUAACCGGAGAAAUCAAGAUUCAAGUAUGUUUUGACUCAAAGGCAGCGAUACUCUACGUGACUGUUGUUAAAGCACGAAAUCUUGGAACAUCAAGGGACAAUAGUGGAUUUCCCGAUCCUUUUGUCAAGUGUUAUCUGUUGCCAGGUCGAUGUAUCGAGAACCAGAGACGAACAAGGUAUUUUUCUCGGUGCAGUAAUCCAGAGUGGAAUCAAACAAUGGUCUAUCCUAACGUUACCAUGGGCAUGCUUCAGGAAAAGUUUCUGGAAAUUAGCGUGUGGAACUAUGAUAUACAUAAACCUAGCGAAUUUCUUGGAGAAAUCAUCCUGAACCUUGCAAAUGAAUGUAUAAUUGAUGAACAGGCUCGCUGGUAUAAGCUUCAAAAACAUGACAAAAGUCGUUAUCCACGUGACCCAUCGGGGAAAACAAGAGGUAGCCAUGAAGGUGACAGAGAAGACCACAAGAUGGCGCGCCUGAAUCAUGCAAACGGGGAUAUUAAGUUUCCAGUGAGUGGCCAGAACCAUAGGGUCUCUAUCUUCCCAACAAGCAACCUCACAGCUCAUCCAUUGAUACCUCAAGGGUGCCACGGUGCAGGGUGCAACAUAUUCUAACUAGCUAUAACGGACACCACAAACGGGAGUUUGGUACUGCCAAUCAAGAGUGACAAACAGAAAGUAUAAACGUUGGACCAAAGACUUGCUGCUGUUUAUUCUGUGGUAUUGUCGACGUUUUGCUUCUCAAGAACUACCUGUUCUAGGAUUACUUUUUGAAUGCACAAAGCUUUGGACUAAACUGAUCCUACUUAUUGUGCAUGUCGAUUGUGUUCGUAAAAUAUUGCCCCUCUCUAACCAAUCCUUCAUUGGCUACGUGCCUCAAAACGCUGUUUCAACGGCGUCCUUGACAUCGAAUUAGUCUAGUUUAGUUGGUUUAUCAACAUAAGUAAGAUAAUUCUGAUAUUAAAUAUGAUCAUAGUCUUAUAUUCCAUGUUUCUUUCUAAGAACACAAUCGUGUGAAAUGCUAGAAAAUUAUAUAGUCUGUAUAUACAAUAUGGAUUCUCAAAGCUUAUAAUCUAACACUGUAUGGAGAUUCAAUACCAGAAGUGUACGCCGAAAUGUUUAAGUUUAUAAUCUAAAGAAACUGUAUAUAGUAGCUGGAGAUUCAAUAUCAGACGAGUAUACUGUAAUUCAUAAGCUUAUAAAUGGUCUAACACAAAAUUCUAAGGAUUAAGUAUCAGAAGGAUAUACUAUAAUACCUAAGUUCAUGACUUGUGUAACACAAUUAUAUAGAAACUGCCUGAGGAUUCAGUAUUAAAUAUGUACACUGUAAUCCUUAAGUUUAUAAACUAUCAAACAUAAUUGUUACAAACUUUCUGAGAGUUAAAUAUCAGAUAGUUACACAGUAAUUUCUAAGUUCUAAACUGUGUAACACAACUGUACACAAACUUUUAAGGACUUAUUACUAGAUGGGGACUAUGUAAUCUUUCAGAUAGCUUUAGUUUAUAAACU
rnacentral:misc_RNA from 1 species